rnacentral:lncRNA from 1 species
AUCCAGUGCUUGUCAUUUUGUGCCUGGCUCAUUUCACUUUGAUAUGGUUUUUGUAUUUCUGACUUAAUAUCAUGUUAUCUUCUGUUACGGCUUCUGUGAAGGGUGUAGAUCAAGAGGGGCAAAGGUGGAAGCAGAGGUGAGCUCUGAGGCUGCUGCCUUGCUCUGGGCAGAGAUGUGGUGCCUGGACCACGGCCGUGGCAGUAGAGGUGCUGACAAGAAGACAGAUGCUGGGUAGAUUUUUAAGGCUGGUGGCAAGCUUCCCCUUGAGCUCGUCACGUUCUUCAGUGCAGCACAACACAGAGUAAAGGUCCAUGGGUGUUUAUGCGGCGGCUGGAGCAGCCAGAAGAACCCUCUGCUCACCAACACCUUCCUCUGUCUCCCAAGUCCUUCCUGUCGGCUCCUUGCAGACAGACGGCUAAGUUCACCUGGGGUAGGACAGAAACAGCCUCGUGUCCCGAUAAGUGUCCCCAGGCGUAGUCAGAGUAAAGGUCGUUGGGAAGUACAGUUGUUAUUACUGCCCGCUCCUUGCACGCACAAACAAGUCAAAGGCUUCCUUAUGCUGGUUCCAGACAUCCACCACGAAUGUGGAUGAUGAGCCUAUGGGGCUGCCGCACUGCAGAGCCAACACGGGGUGAAAAUGAAUCGAGCACGUCCUGCAGGUGCCUCUGCUGAGGGAUCUUUUCACGCUGAGGACACUGAACAGAGAGAAUAUGCAGCUGGUCACAGAAAGCCGUUCAGCUAUUUCAAAGCUUCUACACAAAACAAAACGUUCCAUAAAGUUUGCUUGAAAGUUGAAU